rnacentral:rRNA from 1 species
CGUGUAGGCGGACGCUUAAGUCAGAUGUGAAAGCCCCGGGCUUAACUUGGGGAUUGCAUUUGAUACUGGGUGUCUUGAGGACAGGAGAGGAAAGCGGAAUUCCUAGUGUAGCGGUGAAAUGCGUAGAUAUUAGGAGGAACACCAGUGGCGAAGGCGGCUUUCUGGCCUGUAACUGACGCUGAGGCGCGAAAGCGUGGGGAGCGAACG